UACUAAUUUCUGCUUCUGAUUAUGUGCCAGUCAGCAUUGUGCAGGGUAUCCAGUGACAAUCAUCUCCAUAGUUUUGCUGUCACCCCAUCGGGUAGCUCGCCAGAAGGUCCCACAGACAUUAGCUGGCACUCGUGCUGGACUGUGUGGAGUGUUGAGCCUCAGCAUGCAUUUUUGCUGCCCGGUGGGCCACUAAAUCCUCCCUCCUCAGCCAGCUCUGAAUCUCAGCCAGCAUUCAGGGGAAGCUUUCAUAGAGAAACUGAAGUGUUGAGGUGUGAAGAGUAAGACUUACCUGGUGAAGAAGAGAUACUGGAUCCUGCCUGAGGGAAAAGCAAUUUCACACCCGGAGGAAGGAUGCCGUGGGCCACACUGGAGCCUGUGGAUGGGCUGUGGAUGGCAAGGUGGGUGCUGUGGUGGCAUAGGGAAGAGGAAGGAGGGGAGCACG
rnacentral:lncRNA from 10 species